rnacentral:misc_RNA from 1 species
AGGCAGCCUCUCAUGAAGGAGAUGCUAAGGAAAAGAAGGGUAUUUUAGAGAAGAUCAAGGAGAAGAUUCCUGGGUAUCAUCCGAAGACAGAGGAAGAGAAGAAGGAAUAGCAGUAUUUUGUGCAAAAGCAUCAAAAUGGUGAUGAUAAAUGUGUGGUGAUUUUGCUGCGUUUGUUUUAUAUGUUUUUUGGUUUUUAAUUAAGCUUGAUUAUGUGGGGAAAAAAAAA